GAUAGAUUCUUUUAAUAUUCUGAUACUAGGAGCUCUUUUUUUCCAAAUGAGUGGCAAAUGAUUCCUGUAGAAUUUUCAAUCUUUUCAGGAUAUUAAUGAAUGAGAAUAGCAAAGGCCCUGGCAACCAGAAAUCUGCAAACAAGAGGCAUCUUCAUCCUACAUUUAUUGAAUAUUGUCUACCCAGUGCCUAUGUUCUACUCAACUACCAACCUAUCCAAAGCAGAAAAUUGGACUUGUCACAAUGACCUGGGCUUCUGAAGAUGCUGAUAAAUAUUUUCUGCUAAAGACCCUAAUGAGAGACAUGGUUGGAACAGACAGACUUGCUGAGCUCCCUUUCCAGGAGAUAUGAAAGAGAUGGUAACAUACCUUAUCAUAUUCCCUCUCUCUGUCCAAGAGGGAAAGAAGAGGAUCCAAAGUCUAUCUUUGUUCUCUAAAGUCAUCUUUCCAUUUUUUUUCUGUUUAAGUGAUUUACAUUCU
rnacentral:lncRNA from 1 species